AACCAGCCUAAAUGCCAUGUAUGUUGGAGCCCUGACCUUAACAGCAGCAUAUGAGCUCUGAAGACAGAAAAUAGCUACAACAGAUUUGACUGGAAACCAAAACCCAAGAAAGAAGGCAGACGAAACACAACACCUAAAGUCAUUACCUCUCUUCCAACUGCAAAUGCUGCAUGAUAAGCUUACAGGAAGCGCGUUGAGCAGUUGAAGGAAGACAACCAUUUGGAGGUGUCCUAGUGUCCACUUGAGGAAAACAACUUUACACCUCUAAGAAAACCAAUAUAGGCAUUUUUUAAAAAAUUACUACAAAGUGAAUAAACUAUUAUGGAACAA